GCUGACUCUUUUCAGACGCAGCCUGCCUGCACCCAGGUGAAAUAAACAGCCAUGUUGCUCACACAAAGCCUGUUUGGUGGUCUCUUCACACGGACAUGCAUGAAAUUUGGUGCCGUGACUCGGAUCGGGGGACCUCCCUUGGGAGAUCAAUCCCCUGUCCUCCUGCUCUUUGCUCCGUGAAAAAGAUCCACCUAUGACCUCAGGUCCUCAGACCCACCAGCCCAAGGAACAGCUCACCAAUUUUAAAUAGGAGAAGUUUACAAAACAAGGAGGAAGACUUCUACACCUCACAGCCAGGAUUCCCUGCUCUGGCUCUCGGCUGCUGCCUCAGGGUGAAUCUGUUGC
rnacentral:lncRNA from 10 species